UGAGCUAUGAGGAUACAAUUUCUAUCUUAUUAACAGUGAAGACUGUAUACGCUAUUCUGAGCCAUUA